rnacentral:lncRNA from 1 species
GGCCAUCGUCAGUAUAAACCAUUCUUAGAGGAUCAUCUAGCAAAAAUGCUCUUAAGCUCCUUUACGCCUACCACUCUACCACACGUUAUAAUUGCGCUUGCACUGCCAUUCUACUACUCUCACAAUAUCUCUGCUAACAAAAGAACUUCCCUAUCUUUGAUGUUUCAGAUUUAAUCCAAUGUCCAAGCAAAGAUCCAAAUAUGAUCUCUUCCAUCCAGCAUCAUCAAGAGCAAUUGGCAUCAAAAUCAUCACCAUCUCAGCACAACAAUCAUCAUAUCGC